rnacentral:SRP_RNA from 1 species
CGCGACCCCUCGCGUGGCGUCACCCUGCUGAAUCCCCCAGGGCCGGAAGGCAGCAAGGGCAGGCAGGCUCUGGCGGGUGCGCGGGGGGUCACCUCG